GUGAAGCGGCAAAAGCUCAAAUUUGAAACCCUCGGGAUUGUAAUUUGAAGAUUUGGCAUUGGAGAAAGCUAACCCAAGUUGCUUGGAAUAUACUCAUAAGGGUGACCCCCGUCUGGCUAACCGUUCUCCAUGUAUUGCCUUAUC
rnacentral:rRNA from 1 species